rnacentral:tRNA from 1 species
GGGCGGUUAGCUCAGUUGGCCAGAGCAUCUCGCUUACACCGAGAGGGUCGGGGGUUCGAGUCCCUCACCGCCCA